rnacentral:lncRNA from 1 species
UCUGAGGAUCAGGUUUGUCUUUAAUGUUGAAGCAACAAAAUCCAGAGAAAACUCAUAAAAACAAUUCUACAGUAACUCUACUGUAAACAGAGUAACUACUGUAAACAGAGUAACUACUGCACACAGAGUAACUACUGUACACAGAGUAACUACUGUAAACAGAGUAACUGUACUGCACACAGAGUAACUACUGUACACAGAGUAACUACUGCACACAGAGUAACUACUGUACACAGAGUAACUACUGCACACAGAGUAACUCUACUGUAAACAGAGUAACUACUGUACACAGAGUAACUACUGCACACAGAGUAACUGUACUGUACACAGAGUAACUACUGUACACAGAGUAACUCUACUGUAAACAGAGUAACUACUGUAACUGAGCACAAUCACUGAGUUAACUGUACUGUACACACAGAGUAAUUACUGCACACACACAGAGUAACUACUGUACACAGAGUAACUCUACUGUAAACAGAGUAACUACUGCACACAGAGUAACUACUGUACACAGAGUAACUACUGCACACAGAGUAACUCUACUGCACACAGAGUAACUCUACCACGUACACAGCAAUAAUACUGCAUACUGGAGUCUAUAGAAUAAUCCAGUGACACGAUCUGUAAACAAUACUGUUACUUACAGACACAUCUACAGUUGCAUGAAGCAGUGAACAUGUAGUCAAAGAACCUCUUAGCAAACACAU